ACGGGAGGCAGCAGUGGGGAAUAUUGGGCAAUGGGCGCAAGCCUGACCCAGCAACGCCGCGUGAAGGAAGAAGGCUUUCGGGUUGUAAACUUCUUUUACCAGGGACGAAGGACGUGACGGUACCUGGAGAAAAAGCCACGGCUAACUACGUGCCAGCAGCCGCGGUAAUACGUAGGUGGCAAGCGUUGUCCGGAUUUACUGGGUGUAAAGGGCGUGUAGGCGGAGAUGCAAGUCAGGAGUGAAAUCUAUGGGCUCAACCCAUAAACUGCUUUUGAAACUGUAUCCCUUGAGUAUCGGAGAGGCAGGCGGAAUUCCUAGUGUAGCGGUGGAAUGCGUAGAGAUCAGGAAGAACACCGAUGGCGAAGGCAGCCUGCUGGGGACUCAUCGACGCUGAGGCUCGAAAGUGCGGGUAGCAAACAGGAUUAGAUACCCUGGUA
rnacentral:rRNA from 1 species